CACUUUUGAAAUGGUUUUGUGAGUAAUAUAUUAUUUGAUUGAAGUUUUCAUGCUAUUAUAUGUCAUUAAAUGACGUCAUACGGUUGCCAUAGCAACGGUAAGUGUUCAACUGUGACACCAUAUUCUUUCUUCAUGUGUCGCCAAUGUAUUCUGAAAAUUUCGUGGUAAUCGGGUGAAACGUCGAGGAGUUAUUACUUUAAAUGUUAAAAAAAGUGGCUCAAACCCAAGCAUUCUGUGGCCACAUUUUAACCCCACCAAUAAUUCAGGGGCCGUUUGUUCAAAGGUGGGUUUAGCGCUAACCCUGUGUUAAAAUUUAACCCACUGUUUUAGUUUGUGUAUUUCUGCACGUCUGUUUAUUUCAAAACUUCAGAGAAGUAAACUCCUAUCGAUCCAGACAAGAUCUCUCAAGAAAUAUUUCCAAAUUUAUAGACCGGCCAGCUGUCAGGAAGUUUACUUUGAAUUUUAAGUUAACCUAGGGUUAAGCUAACCCAGCUUUGAACAACCGGCCACAGAAGUAGAGGUGUCAAUUAUCCCCGAGCCAACGGCGCGAAGCGCCUUUCCGUG